UACGGAGGGUCCAAGCGUUAUCCGGAAUCAUUGGGUUUAAAGGGUCCGUAGGCGGUUUUGUAAGUCAGUGGUGAAAGCCCAUCGCUCAACGGUGGAACGGCCAUUGAUACUGCAAGACUUGAAUUAUUGGGAAGUAACUAGAAUAUGUAGUGUAGCGGUGAAAUGCUUAGAGAUUACAUGGAAUACCAAGUGCGAAGGCAGGUUACUACCAAUAGAUUGACGCUGAUGGACGAAAGCGUGGGGAGCGAACAGG
rnacentral:rRNA from 1 species